rnacentral:tRNA from 1 species
GCCCUCAUCGUCUAGUGGUUAGGACAUAGGACUUUCAAUCCUAGAAUAGGGGUUCAACUCCCCUUGAGGGUA